rnacentral:lncRNA from 1 species
CACUACACUAGUGGGUGAGGAUCUUUAGAGGUUUCCUACUUUGGGAACUUGAAGAGAACCUAGGAGCACUCAUUAUAACAAAGUGGAGGAGGCAAGGAGGGAAGCUAGGCUCAAGGAUUUCAAGGAGCAAAGGGCUUGAAGGUGGUCCAUCCUUGGUCUCAAGUCUAGAUCAAGAGGUAUAAGACUAACCUUCACUUUGUUCUUGAUUCUAAAAUUUGUUUUGAUGCAUUAUAUAUAAACCUAUGAACCUUGAAGGGGAUUUGCAUGACUAUAGCUUUGAUAAAUUGUUAUAAAUGCUUCCGCUGCUUUCGUAUAUUAAAUUUGAUUUGUAUAUGCAUAAUAGUCAUUAUGAAAUCCCAUGCUAGAAUCUCAUAAAUUUCCCUUCAAGUGGUAUCAGAGCCAAUGGUUUAUGUAUAUUGUGUCCUUUUUGGAUUUUAUGCAUAUGGGUAUUAAUGUUAUGUAUGACAUAUUAUUGUUUCAUUCAAAGUAUGUUUAUCUUUUGUUUUUCAAUAGUUGAAAAAUGUUAGUCAAAAAUUGAGAAAGAUAUGUUUGCAAAAGUGUUUUGUAUGCAUGAAUGAAAAAUGAGUUUAGAACUAGUAUGACAUAUUAUUUCUUCAUUUAAAAGUAUGUUUGUCUUUUGUUUUUCAAUGGUUGAAAAAUGUAAAUCAAGAGUUGAAAAAGAUAUGCAUGUAAAAGUUGUUUUGUAUGCAUGAAUGAAGAAUAAGUCAUGAACAAAAUUUGGGGUUUUGUUCAAAAGGGUAGGCACGGUUUUGGGGGUGGUUUUGGGUUGUGUUUGUGUUUUAUUGUAAACCACUCACACAUCCUAUUAAAGCUUAAAAGAAGUGUUCUUGUCACUUUUGUUUUUGGGUUUGAAAAAUCACCAAGAAUAUAUAAAUCUUGAAAUUGUGCUCAUGGUUUUGUUCUUGGUGUUCAUGGUUUGGUUUUGGGUGAAAAUGGUUUUUAAUUGAUUUUCAUGCAUGGUUUUAUGGUUUUGGAUUAUGUUCUUACCAUCCAUAACCAUAUUAAAACUUAUAAAACCCUAGACUUGACUAGGAGGAUUUCCAUCACCCAUCUCACCUAAGUUUUAAUGGCAAAACCAAGUGACAAGCAAAAUUUGAUUUUUCUUACAUAAUGUGGCUUUUAAUGCAUGUUGUGUAAGAUUGUGUAAGAGACCUCCCAUCCCCUUAAUGUGGCCGGCCUCCCUAGUGGAUUUAUCCACUUGUGGGGCUAUUUUGUAAUCUUUGAAAAGUUGAUAUUUACUUUGAAAUAUUUACGGUUUUACCCCUAACUUUUCAUAUUUACAUUUAGGCCCCUACUAACUAGAAAGUUAAAAUAUUUGAUUUUAAUUUUGUUAGUUGUUUAAACUCAUAAUACUAUUAUGCCCAUAUGCACUAAAUCUAAAUGUUUAUGUUGCAUUCCAUCAUGAUUAUUUAAAUGUGUUUAAGUAGUUAUGAAAUGGAUGACUUUGGACUUAUGCCUUAAACGAUAAUUGAGCUAUAUGAUAAGGCGUUAAAAUCAAAUUGUUUGAACCUUGGGAAUGUGUUUUUAAUUACUGUUUAAUUGGACCUUGUCACGUUUGACGUUAAUCUUUCUCUCCCCUUUUAGUAUAUGUAAUUCAUAGGAAUUUGUACAAAUCGGUUUGUAAUU